UACAGAGGGGGCAAGCGUUGUUCGGAAUUACUGGGCGUAAAGGGCGCGUAGGCGGUCCUGUAAGUGGUGUGUGAAAUCCGAUGGCUCAACCAUCGAGCUGCGCUCCAUACUGCAGGACUUGAGUACAGCAGAGGAAAGUGGAAUUCCUGGUGUAGCGGUGGAAUGCGCAGAUAUCAGGAGGAACACCAAUGGCGAAGGCAGCUCGCUGGGACGGUACUGACGCUGAGGCGCGAAAGCGUGGGGAGCAAACAGG
rnacentral:rRNA from 1 species